rnacentral:rRNA from 1 species
AAACUCAAAUGAAUUGACGGGGACCCGCACAAGCGGUGGAUGAUGUGGUUUAAUUCGAUGCAACGCGAAAAACCUUACCUACCCUUGACAUGUCAGGAAUCUUGCAGAGAUGUGAGAGUGCUCGAAAGAGAACCUGAACACAGGUGCUGCAUGGCCGUCGUCAGCUCGUGUCGUGAGAUGUUGGGUUAAGUCCCGCAACGAGCGCAACCCUUGUCAUUAGUUGCUACGAAAGGGCACUCUAAUGAGACUGCCGGUGACAAACCGGAGGAAGGUGGGGAUGACGUCAGGUCAUCAUGGCCCUUAUGGGUAGGGCUACACACGUCAUACAAUGGCCGGGACAGAGGGCUGCCAACCCGCGAGGGGGAGCUAAUCCCAGAAACCCGGUCGUAGUCCGGAUCGCAGUCUGCAACUCGACUGCGUGAAGUCGGAAUCGCUAGUAAUCGCGGAUCAGCUUGCCGCGGUGAAUACGUUCCCGGGUCUUGUACACACCGCCCGU